GCCUGGGUGGCUCAGUCGGUUAAGCGUCCGACUUUGGCUCAGGUCAUGAUCUCCCGGUUCGUGGGUUCAAGCCCCGCUCUGUGCU
rnacentral:tRNA from 1 species